rnacentral:rRNA from 1 species
AUUGAACGCUGGUGGAAUGCUUUACACAUGCAAGUCGAACGGCAGCACGGGGCAACCUGGUGGCGAGUGGCGAACGGGUGAGUAAUACAUCGGAACGUGCCCAAUCGUGGGGGAUAACGUAGCGAAAGUUACGCUAACACCGCAUACGAUCUACGGAUGAAAGCGGGGGAUCGCAAGACCUCGCGCGAAUGGAGCGGCCGAUGUCAGAUUAGGUAGUUGGUGGGGUAAAGGCUCACCAAGCCAACGAUCUGUAGCUGGUCUGAGAGGACGACCAGCCACACUGGGACUGGGACACGGCCCAGACUCCUACGGGAGGCAGCAGUGGGGAAUUUUGGACAAUGGGCGCAAGCCUGAUCCAGCCAUUCCGCGUGCAGGAUGAAGGCCUUCGGGUUGUAAACUGCUUUUGUACGGAACGAAACGGCUCUCUCUAAUACAGGGGGCUAAUGACGGUACCGUAAGAAUAAGCACCGGCUAACUACGUGCCAGCAGCCGCCGUAAUAC